GUUUUGUGGUGGGAAAGAUUUUUCGGUUGGGGAUGGGCUCGCGGCCUAUCAGCUUGUUGGUGAGGUAGUGGCUCACCAAGGCGUCGACGGGUAGCCGGCCUGAGAGGGUGACCGGCCACACUGGGACUGAGACACGGCCCAGACUCCUACGGGAGGCAGCAGUGGGGAAUAUUGCACAAUGGGCGGAAGCCUGAUGCAGCAACGCCGCGUGAGGGAUGACGGCCUUCGGGUUGUAAACCUCUUUUAGCAGGGAAGAAGCGUAAGUGACGGUACCUGCAGAAAAAGCGCCGGCUAACUACGUGCCAGCAGCCGCGGUAAUACGUAGGGCGCAAGCGUUAUCCGGAAUUAUUGGGCGUAAAGAGCUCGUAGGCGGUUUGUCGCGUCUGCUGUGAAAACCCGAGGCUCAACCUCGGGCCUGCAGUGGGUACGGGCAGACUAGAGUGCGGUAGGGGAGAUUGGAAUUCCUGGUGUAGCGGUGGAAUGCGCAGAUAUCAGGAGGAACACCGAUGGCGAAGGCAGAUCUCUGGGCCGUUACUGACGCUGAGGAGCGAAAGGGUGGGGAGCAAACAGGCUUAGAUACCCUGGUAGUCCACCCCGUAAACGUUGGGAACUAGUUGUGGGGGCCUUUCCACGGUCUCCGUGACGCAGCUAACGCAUUAAGUUCCCCGCCUGGGGAGUACGGCCGCAAGGCUAAAACUCAAAGGAAUUGACGGGGACCCGCACAAGCGGCGGAGCAUGCGGAUUAAUUCGAUGCAACGCGAAGAACCUUACCAAGGCUUGACAUACACCGGAAACGUCUGGAAACAGUCGCCCCUUUUUGGUCGGUGUACAGGUGGUGCAUGGUUGUCGUCAGCUCGUGUCGUGAGAUGUUGGGUUAAGUCCCGCAACGAGCGCAACCCUCGUUCUAUGUUGCCAGCACGUUAUGGUGGGAACUCAUGGGAUACUGCCGGGGUCAACUCGGAGGAAGGUGGGGAUGACGUCAAAUCAUCAUGCCCCUUAUGUCUUGGGCUUCACGCAUGCUACAAUGGCCGGUACAAAGGGUUGCAAUACCGUGAGGUGGAGCGAAUCCCAAAAAGCUGGUCCCAGUUCGGAUU
rnacentral:rRNA from 1 species